GAGUGGGGAGGAGAGAGGGACAGAGAGCCUGCUUGCUUUAAAGGAACUAACCAGACAGGAACUCUCCUCUCCCGCUUUGCUCCUUUAAAGAAGCAGGCUCUCUGGCCCUCUCUCCUCCCCACUCA
rnacentral:miRNA from 1 species